UACGGAGGGUCCAAGCGUUAUCCGGAAUCAUUGGGUUUAAAGGGUUCGUAGGCGGUUUUGUAAGUCAGUGGUGAAAGCCCAUCGCUCAACGGUGGAACGGCCAUUGAUACUGCAAGACUUGAAUUAUUAGGAAGUAACUAGAAUAUGUAGUGUAGCGGUGAAAUGCUUAGAGAUUACAUGGAAUACCAAUUGCGAAGGCAGGUUACUACUAAUGGAUUGACGCUGAUGGACGAAAGCGUGGGGAGCGAACAGG
rnacentral:rRNA from 1 species